rnacentral:rRNA from 1 species
GUAGGGAGUCUUCGACAAUGGGGGAAACCCUGAUCGAGCAACACCGCGUGAACGAUGAAGGUCUUCGGAUUGUAAAGUUCUGUGGUAAGGGAUAAAUGACAGGAGUAGGAAAUGAUUCCUGUUUGAUAGUACCUUACUAGAAAGCAACGACUAACUUCGUGCCAGCAGUCGCGGUAAUACGAAGGUUGCAAGCGUUAUCCGGAAUUAUUGGGCGUAAAGAGUGAGCAGGCGGCUUAUUAAGUUUGAAGUCAAAUCGUUGGGCUUAACCCAAUCUCGCUUCAAAAACUGGUAGGCUAGAGUAUGUGAGAGGUAAGUAGAACUCCAUGUGUAGCGGUGAAAUGCGUAGAUAUAUGGAAGAAUACCAGUGGCGAAGGCGGCUUACCAGCACAAUACUGACGCUCAGUCACGAAAGUAUAGGGAGCAAAUAGGAUUAGAAACCCUAGUAGUCC